UACGAAGGGUGCAAGCGUUACUCGGAAUUACUGGGCGUAAAGCGUGCGUAGGUGGUUCGUUAAGUCUGAUGUGAAAGCCCUGGGCUCAACCUGGGAAUGGCAUUGGAAACUGGCGACCUAGAGUGCGGUAGAGGGUAGUGGAAUUCCUGGUGUAGCGGUGAAAUGCGUAGAUAUCAGGAGGAACACCGGUGGCGAAGGCGGCUCUCUGGACGGUGACUGACGCUGAGACGCGAAAGCGUGGGGAGCAAACAGG
rnacentral:rRNA from 1 species